UCUGCCGCUUUUGUCGGGGUGUUACCAGGCAGACUGGAGCCUGCAGAUUUCAUCUCGCCUUUUUGUUUUUCUUAAGUCCUUAAAAGGAAAAAGUUUUAAAAAAAGAAAAAAAAAACCUUGCUGACUAAUAGUACGCUGCAAUUUGUAAAACGCACCUUUGGGGAAUCUAAUGAAUUUUUUUUGCAUUUAUUUUUGUUGCUACCUUUCUAUUUUUUCUUUACUUUAAAUUUGGAGUCUAUGAGACCAUUGCUUUUAAACCGGAACCUAAAGUAAAAACACGCAGCGCUGGCUUUAAGCUUGCAAAAGGCCUGAGUGCAGCCCCCUCCAGCUGACACUACGGCCCAGAGCGCGAGGUUCUCCUAGCACAAACAAGGCCCCUACCCGGGCGAGCUGAAAGGUCCUAGCCAACCUCCCCGCCCGCUGCAGAGCGCUGCGGGGCGCCCGGGCGCGCGAGCAGAUUGCGGCCGGCGCACGCGGCUCGUUUGCAUUUCUAUGGAGGGUGCAUAAUAGCGGAGAUCUGGCGUGUGGCGGUUUGUAGGAGGGACAAUCGAGGCUUUCUCUUCAUAGCGACACUGUCCACCUGCCGCUGGGUGGGGUAGGAAGGGCCCGCCGCGCGUGGAGGUCGCCAGGCUGCUCGGCGCGUGGGGGUCGCGGCCGCGUGCCGCUCCUGUGCCCCUCGAUGCGCGCCCUCUACACGGGCCCUGCUGAACGUUUGCAUGUAAUGCCGCCCACCCAGUUCUAGCACAAGUGCGGAGCAGCAGUGGGAGUUGGAAGGAACACCUGGCUGCUGCACCGUCUUCACAGCCGGGUGCGCUCCGCCCGGACCUCUAGGCUCCAGGCCCCAAGAGCUUGGGGAACGCGGCUCGGAAUCCCUUUCCCGGGGCGCCAUCUACAGGCCGGCCGGAAAGACCCUGACCAUCUCCCUCCUCCACACUUUCAUUGAACUCUAGGGACUUGGCCUCCGGCCCUCGGGUCAAGAAACGGCCCUGGUAGGGUCGGCUGAGCCCGGUCCAAGCUGCACAUUAAUGAAGGCAGAGUAAGGACUGCAAAACUCACCCAGGGAGGAGGUGGGGACGAAAGGAGACCCCAACCCAGUACUGACAGAGGAAGAGCCCAUAAUUCUUAGUCUAUUUCGAAAUGUUUUAUUGACUUAAAUAUGCAUAUAUUAAAAGCUCGUAUUCCAGCAAUAGAAGAAUAAAACUAAACGACAGCUUGAGAGCGUUUAAUAGACAUUGCUUGGCUGUGACCAUUAAGGACCUAUAAGCCUGCACCUUCAGACGGUUCACUCACUGAGCUUACCACUUUUGGUGUCUGCAUCUCUCUGCGCUACACUGAAAUGCGCGGUGGGGUGCAUUCCAUUGCACCUCCCCCCUUUUCUAGAUGAGGCCUUUGAGACUGGACAGGACAGUUGGCGGACGGAGCGGGUUGAUUCGCUGGGAGCCCAGACUGCUUCAAGACAGAGGAAAUAACAGGUUCGUUCCCUUUAUGAGGACCGGCCCCACAGAGGCUGCAGGGCACAGAUGGGUUGCUCAGAGCUCCGUGCUGCCUGCAGGGGCACAAUUUGACUCUGCCCACUGGAGAGAUGGGCUGCAGUUUCAGAGCCUGAAGCUGGCAGAAGCUGCAGUUGCCUCCUGAAAUUCAGUGACUCAGGACAAGAGAGACACACCCAGAGGCUGAGGACAAUACCACCUUCCUGCAGCGAGGAUGUCUGUGCUUCCCUGGCCUCAGUUCAGUGUCAAGGAUGUUCUGGGGAUGAACUGGGAGCUGGGCUGCAGGUAUGCACGGGCUACUUGACUUCCCAGGGUGCAAUCCUUUGGGGUCCUAACCUGAAGUAUGGGCCAUGCCAUCCCCCACCCACGUUUGCCCGCCCUGUGUAGGCUGACUCAAGAAGUUGCACAGCCCAGCGGCGGAAAAGCAAAGCCCAGCGCUGCGUGCAGCCUCCUGGGUCCCAAGCCUCUUCCAGGGCCUCACAGACUUGUUGGCUUCCUGCUGCCCCCGGCACCGCCUUUUACAUUGUGUCAGCUUUUCUGGUUGUCCUUGUAAGACAGGUGGUCAAAAGUACCCGGUCCACCAAUAUCAGAGGCAAAAGCUAUCUUCUUUAUGGAAAAGUUUUCAGAUCAUGUGAAGUGUACACAGUUAAAGUGAAAAUUGACCCUUCAAAGUCACAGCUGCUGCCACCAAACCCAUUUCUGCAGGUGACGGCUGUUGGCAAUUUGACAGACAUUGUUUCACAGCCUGUUUGUGCGUGUACAUACAUAAGUAGGCUUUUAUUCAUCAACUACACCUACUACUCUGCAACCUGACUUUUUUUCUUGUAAUAUUAAAACGCAGGGGCAUUUCCACAUCAGCUGUAAAGCCUUCUUUCAGCUGCACACUGCUCAUA